GAUGAACGCUAGCUACAGGCUUAACACAUGCAAGUCGAGGGGCAGCAUGGUCUUAGCUUGCUAAGGCCGAUGGCGACCGGCGCACGGGUGAGUAACGCGUAUCCAACCUGCCUUACACUCUUGGACAGCCUUCUGAAAGGGAGAUUAAUACAAGAUGUUAUCAUGAGUAAGCAUUUUCGCAUGAUUAAAGGUUUAUCGGUGAUGGAUGGGGAUGCGUCUGAUUAGCUUGUUGGCGGGGUAACGGCCCACCAAGGCGACGAUCAGUAGGGGUUCUGAGAGGAAGGUCCCCCACAUUGGAACUGAGACACGGUCCAAACUCCUACGGGAGGCAGCAGUGAGGAAUAUUGGUCAAUGGGCGCGAGCCUGAACCAGCCAAGUAGCGUGGAGGACGACGGCCCUACGGGUUGUAAACUCCUUUUAUAAGGGGAUAAAGUUGGCCAUGUAUGGCCAUUUGCAGGUACCUUAUGAAUAAGCAUCGGCUAAUUCCGUGCCAG
rnacentral:rRNA from 1 species